UUACGGCGACAUCACGUUGAAACCCCGGUUCCCGUACAAUCACGGAAGUUAAGCAGCGUUGAGCCUGGCCAGUACCUAGAUGGGUGUCCGCUUGGGAAUACCAGGUACUGUAAG